rnacentral:rRNA from 1 species
CCUACGGGUGGCAGCAGUCGAGAAUCAUUCACAAUGGGGGAAACCCUGAUGGUGCGACGCCGCGUGGGGGAAUGAAGGUCUUCGGAUUGUAAACCCCUUUCAUGUGGGAGCAAAUUAAAAAGAUAGUACCACAAGAGGAAGAGAUGGCUAACUCUGUGCCAGCAGCCGCGGUAAUACAGAGGUCUCAAGCGUUGUUCGGAAUCACUGGGCGUAAAGCGUGCGUAGGCUGUUUCGUAAGUCGUGUGUGAAAGGCGCGGGCUCAACCCGCGGACGGCACAUGAUACUGCGAGACUAGAGUAAGGGAGGGGGAACCGGAAUUCUCGGUGUAGCAGUGAAAUGCGUAGAUAUCGAGAGGAACACUCGUGGCGAAGGCGGGUUCCUGGACAUUAACUGACGCUGAGGCACGAAGGCCAGGGGAGCGAAAGGGAUUAGAUACCCUUGUAGUC